AUAUCAUAACGAAGAGGUAUCGUAAUUGAAGAGGUUUGGAAAGACCCACCACAGAAGGUAAUAGUCCUGUAUGUUAAACGAGAAGACUUUAGAUAUGAUCCAGAGUACCACGGGACACGUGAAACCCUGUGGGAAGCAGGAGGGACCACCCUCCAAGGCUAAAUACUACCUAGUGACCGAUAGCGUAUAGUACCGUGAGGGAAAGGUGAAAAGAACCCCGGGAGGGGAGUGAAAUAGAACCUGAAACCCUGCACUUACAAGCUGUGGAAGCACAUUUCUUGUGUGACCGCGUACUUUUUGUAGAACGGGCCAACGAGUUACGUUAAGUAGCAAGGUUAAGCACUUAAGGUGCGGAGCCGUAGCGAAAGCGAGUUUUAACUGAGCGUUCAGUUACUUGACGUAGACCCGAAACCGGGCGACCUACCCAUGAGCAGGAUGAAGCGAAAGUAAAAUUUCGUGGAGGUCCGAACCCACGAGCGUUGAAAAGCUCGGGGAUGACUUGUGGGUAGCGGUGAAAUUCCAAUCGAGCCCGGAGAUAGCUGGUUCUCCCCGAAAUAGCUUUAGGGCUAGCCUCAAGGUGAGAGAUACGGAGGUAGAGCACUGAAUGUCCUAGGGGGUAUUGCACCUACCGAAGACUAUCAAACUCCGAAUGCCGUCAUCUUAUACUUGGGAGUCAGACUGUGGGUGAUAAGAUUCAUAGUCGAAAGGGCAACAGCCCAGAUCGUCAGCUAAGGUCCCUAAAUGUAAGUUAAGUGGUAAAGGAUGUGGGAUUGCACAGACAACCAGGAUGUUGGCUUAGAAGCAGCCACUCAUUCAAAGAGUGCGUAAUAGCUCACUGGUCGAGUGAUCCUGCGCCGAAGAUUUCCGGGGCUAAAACUUACUACCGAAGCUACGGCAUCAGUAAUGAUGGGUAGGGGAGCUUCCCAUACGGGUUGAAGCAUGACCGUAAGGACAUGUGGACAGUAUGGGAGUGAGAAUGUUGGCAUGAGUAGCGAGAUGUGGGUGAGAAUCCCACAGGCCGUAAACCCAAGGUUUCCAGGGGAAGGUUCGUCCGCCCUGGGUUAGUCGGGACCUAAGCUGAGGCCGAAAGGCGUAGGUGAUGGACAACAGGUUGAUAUUCCUGUACUACCGAUAACCGUUUGAGAGAAGGGAUGACACAGUAGGAUAAGCUAAGCACACUGUUGGUUAUGUGUGCCCAAGCAUUGAGGCAGUCAAAGUAGGCAAAUCCGCUUUGAUAAUGCUGGGAUGUGAUGGGGAGCGAAAUUUAGUAGCGAAGUAGCUGAUUUCACACUGUCAAGAAAAGUCUCUAUCGAGGUUAAAGGUACCCGUACCGCAAACCGACACAGGUGGGUGAGGAGAGUAUCCUAAGGCCAGCGAGAGAACUGUUGUUAAGGAACUCGGCAAAAUGACCCCGUAACUUAGGGAUAAGGGGUGCCACCAUCAGGUGGCCGCAGAGAAUAGGCCCAAGCGACUGUUUACCAAAAACAUAGGUUUCUGCUAAGUCGCAAGACGAUGUAUAGGAGCUGACGCCUGCCCGGUGCUGGAAGGUUAAGGGGAUCUGUUAGAGCAAUCGAAGCAGUGAACUUAAGCCCCAGUAAACGGCGGCCGUAACUAUAACGGUCCUAAGGUAGCGAAAUUCCUUGUCGGGUAAGUUCCGACCCGCACGAAAGGCGUAACGAUUUGGGCACUGUCUCAACAACAGACUCGGUGAAAUUGUAAUUCCGGUGAAGAUGCCGGAUACCUGCGACAGGACGGAAAGACCCCAUGGAGCUUUACUGUAGCUUGACAUUGGGUCUUGGUACUACAUGUACAGGAUAGGUGGGAGGCUUUGAAACCAGGACGCCAGUUUUGGCGGAGCCAUCCUUGGGAUACCACCCUUGUAGUACUGGGACUCUAACCAUAGGCCAUGAAUCUGGUCUUGGGACACUGUCAGGUGGGCAGUUUGACUGGGGCGGUCGCCUCCCAAAAGGUAACGGAGGCGCUCAAAGGUUCUCUCAGUACGGUCGGAAAUCGUACGUAGAGUGUAAAGGCAAAAGAGAGCUUGAUUGCAAGACAUACAGGUCGAGCAAGGAUGAAAAUCGGACUUAGUGAUCCGGUGGUUCUGCGUGGAAGGGCCAUCGCUCAACGGAUAAAAGCUACCCUGGGGAUAACAGGCUUAUCUCCCCCAAGAGUCCACAUCGACGGGGAGGUUUGGCACCUCGAUGUCGGCUCAUCACAUCCUGGGGCUGUAGUAGGUCCCAAGGGUUGGGCUGUUCGCCCAUUAAAGUGGUACGCGAGCUGGGUUCAGAACGUCGUGAGACAGUUCGGUCCCUAUCCGUCGCAGGCGUAGGAAAUUUGAGAAGACCUGUCCUUAGUACGAGAGGACCGGGAUGGACG
rnacentral:rRNA from 1 species